rnacentral:rRNA from 1 species
UGGGGAAUUUUGGACAAUGGGGGAAACCCUGAUCCAGCCAUCCCGCGUGUGCGAUGAAGGCCUUCGGGUUGUAAAGCACUUUUGGCAGGAAAGAAACGUCGCGGGUUAAUACCCCGCGGAACUGACGGUACCUGCAGAAUAAGCACCGGCUAACUACGUGCCAGCAGCCGCGGUAAUACGUAGGGUGCAAGCGUUAAUCGGAAUUACUGGGCGUAAAGCGUGCGCAGGCGGUUCGGAAAGAAAGAUGUGAAAUCCCAGAGCUUAACUUUGGAACUGCAUUUUUAACUACCGGGCUAGAGUGUGUCAGAGGGAGGUGGAAUUCCGCGUGUAGCAGUGAAAUGCGUAGAUAUGCGGAGGAACACCGAUGGCGAAGGCAGCCUCCUGGGAUAACACUGACGCUCAUGCACGAAAAGCGUGGGGAGCAAACAGGAUUAGAUACCCUGGUAGUCCACGCCCUAAAACGAUGUCAACUAGCUGUUGGGGUCUUCGGACCUUGGUAGCGCAGCUAACGCGUGAAGUUGACCGCCUGGGGAGUACGGUCGCAAGAUUAAAAACUC